rnacentral:rRNA from 1 species
GAUGAACGCUGGCGGCGUGCCUAAUACAUGCAAGUCGAGCGAACGGACGAGAAGCUUGCUUCUCUGAUGUUAGCGGCGGACGGGUGAGUAACACGUGGAUAACCUACCUAUAAGACUGGGAUAACUUCGGGAAACCGGAGCUAAUACCGGAUGAUAUUUUGAACCGCAUGGUUCAAAAGUGAAAGACGGUCUUGCUGUCACUUAUAGAUGGAUCCGCGCUGCAUUAGCUAGUUGGUAAGGUAACGGCUUACCAAGGCAACGAUGCAUAGCCGACCUGAGAGGGUGAUCGGCCACACUGGAACUGAGACACGGUCCAGACUCCUACGGGAGGCAGCAGUAGGGAAUCUUCCGCAAUGGGCGAAAGCCUGACGGAGCAACGCCGCGUGAGUGAUGAAGGUCUUCGGAUCGUAAAACUCUGUUAUUAGGGAAGAACAUACGUGUAAGUAACUGUGCACAUCUUGACGGUACCUAGUCAGAAAGCCACGGCUAACUACGUG